rnacentral:lncRNA from 1 species
CUUGCCAAUAGGUGCAUUAACAUGUAAUAGAGAGCUAAAAUUGUAGAUUAUUGUAGAUUAUUAAAUUUGUAGAUUAUUGAUAUGUUUGGUAGGUUUUAAAAGAUUAUAAAGUUUGAUUACUUUUUUGUCUCAUUUUUGGAGCCAGUAUGUUUAUAAGGCUUUCAUAUUUGAUGGGAAAAGAAAUGAAAAUAACGUCAUUCUACAUUUGAUUUACUUCACUGAUUUUACAUAUUUUGAAGAUUACAUAGUAUUUAUUAGCAUUAAGACAACAUUUAACCAGAAGUCUCCAUUGACUUUACCUGUUAUAACCUAGAGCAAAUGGAACUCAUGCAUACCUCUAGUCAUGUCCUUAAUGCUUUGUUGUGAGUUAAAUUUUGAGGCGUGCUUCCUCUAUUCUAAGCAAAGGAGCAAAGAGGUGGUGAGGGGGAGGAAAGACAGAGCCAUGCUGUAUACAUCUGUCCUCUUUGGAAAAAAGAGGGGAAGUGCUUGCCAAACUGCACCCCAGUGCUUAGCUUGUCUAAAUCCAGAAGAAAUAGUUAGUCUUACCUCUCUUGGAUUGGGAAACCCAUUGGCAGUGAUAAUCUUCUUGUAAUAUUGAACUGAAGCCUUAGGAUAGCGAGGCUUAUUUCUGACAUUAAACUCAACAUAGUAGAAUCCAUAUCUAUCUGUGUAUCCUUUUUCCCAUUCAAACUUAUCCAACAGAGACCAGGAAGUAUACCCUUUUAUAUUAGCACCAUCUUUUAUAGCUGAAAAGACAUUUUAUUCCACUUUUAACAUAUUUCAUUUACUUAAAUAAUAUUGUGAAGAUAAUAUUAAAAUAUUUUUAUUUAUGAUAUUUAGAGACAAGUCAUAGUUGAUCAUGUGUUAUCAAAUUUUGUUUAAGGUGCACAGAAAAAUAUGUGAAGACAUUGUUGGUUUGUAUCUCACCUUUUAGCAUUUCAUUUAUGUAUCCUUUAAGGUACUGAAUUCUCCACUCAUCACAUAAUUGCGUACAGUGUUCUUUUUGAGAUGCUCCAUUUUCUGUCACAUAUAUGGGAGGAUCGCCAUAUUGAGUCUGUAAGUGAGUCAGAGUAACAUAUCUUAAAAAUUCUGACUUACAGGUAGAUUUCUGGAUCAGAUACUCUUAUAACAACAUGUAUUCAAGGCUACCAGAUUCUAAUCAAGUACAUCUUAGCAUGUACUGUCAGUUAACAUGUUUAUUUAGAGAUGAGUGUAGGCAAGAGGUGCAUUAAUGUGUAAGAAUAUAUUUCUCAAUAAAUUGGCAUUGUUG